rnacentral:rRNA from 1 species
GAUGAACGCUGACAGAAUGCUUAACACAUGCAAGUCUUUGGCGAAGCUGUGCUUGCACAGCCUAGCCAAGGCGGACGGGUGAGUAACGCGUAAGGAACUUGCCCUGCAGUCAGGGAUAACAGACGGAAACGACUGAUAAGACCUGGUAAAGUCAGGCGGACUCAUGUCCAGCCUGAUGAAAAGAGAUGCUGCAGGAGAGCCUUGCGUCCUAUUAGCUUGUUGGUGGGGUAACGGCCCACCAAGGCGAUGAUAGGUAGCCGGCCUGAGAGGGUGGACGGCCACAAGGGGACUGAGAUGCGGCACUUACGUCUACGGGAGGGAGCAGUGGGGAAUAGUGGAAAAUGGGGGCAACUCUGAUCCAGCAAUUCUGUGUGCAAGAUGAAGGUUUUCGGAGUGUAAAGUGCUUUCAGCAGGGAAGAAGAAAAUGACGGUACCUGCAGAAGAAGCGACGGCUAAAUACGUG